AUAUAAGGGCAAACUUAUUGAAAAGUAAGGACGCAAAGCUAGAGUCUAAGGUAAAAUACUAUGACAGUUCGGCUGC
rnacentral:ncRNA from 1 species